rnacentral:tRNA from 1 species
GGCGAGGUAGCUCAGCUGGUUAGAGCAAUGGAAUCAUAAUCCAUGUGUCGGGGGUUCGAAUCCCUCCCUCGCUACUA